UGGCUCAGUUGGUAGAGCAUCACCUUGCCAAGGUGAGGGUCGCGAGUUCGAAUCUCNN
rfam:Kitasatospora sp. Root187 contig_6, whole genome shotgun sequence.